UACGUAGGGGGCUAGCGUUGUCCGGAAUCAUUGGGCGUAAAGAGCGUGUAGGCGGUCCGGUAAGUCCGCUGUGAAAGUCGGGGGCUCAACCCUCGAAUGCCGGUGGAUACUGUCGGGCUAGUGUGCGGAAGAGGCGAGUGGAAUUCCUGGUGUAGCGGUGGAAUGCGCAGAUAUCAGGAGGAACACCGGUGGCGAAGGCGGGUCUCUGGGCAGUAACUGACGCUGAGGAGCGAAAGCGUGGGGAGCAAACAGG
rnacentral:rRNA from 1 species